AGUUUUGCAUUGAAGAGUCAAUUUUACAAAAUUGAAAUUUAAAUUAUUGAAGCGUUAAAUGGUACAGCAGCUGGAGAGUGGUGAGGUAACGACACAAAAUGCAAUGGUUGGCAGUCAUUGCUAUUUUUUGGUGACAGGCGAAGUAUUUAUAAAUUUGUACAGGGAAGUGCACUUAUGGAAUUUGUAUUUUCAAUGUGGUACAAUGGUUGCCGACUGUGUAUGCUUGGACACAAGUUAAAUAAUCCGAUUCUGUUAAAUGCGAAUGAUUGUGGCAAGAACUACAUUGAGCUAUGCAUAAGAUAUACGUGCUAGCCAAAAUAAACGUGUUUAUAUAUAUUAAUUUAAAAAAUUAAAUCUUAAUAUUAUGCUCAAAAAAAGUGUACGCGGUUUGAAAAAUACAGCCCGUAACUGUGGAAAAUUGAUUAAAAAUGGUUGCGUGUGCGCAUUGAUGUGUCUAUAUCAAUGUCAGCCUUCCUUCUGCUAAUAGAUAGCAAUUAAUCAAUCGAGCAUACACUUUCACACAUACGCAAUUGGGAGAACCAUGCAAUCGCCAACAAGAGACGACACAAAGCGAUAUGGCAAAGAGACAGGGAAAUGUAUAGCCAUGGCGACAGGCACCAAUGCCAGCACAUUUCACACAAAUAUAAAUAUUUGCUUAUGCCACAUUGGGGCGACACAGAAACACAAACAGAGUGGUAACUUGGGUGGCAGGCAGAUGCCCUUAUGAGUCUUGCAAGCGGCAAGCGCAUAUUGUCAGAAUAAGGGAGAGAGCGAUCGGGGAGCUGGUGAGAAAUAUUUUGCCCGCAUUGCAAACGCUUUUCCCAUAGACACCAAUCGUAAAUAAAUAUUUUGAUUUAUUGUCUACGUCAAUAUUUCCGCAAAAUUUAUGCUCGGCAUCGCGCAUUGGGAAGUCGUAUAAUUAAUAUGCUUACCCGGCGUAUGCGUUAUCUUUAUUUCGAAUCAACUCUAUGCUAAAAUUCGUAAUGCCUUUAAAGUUCCGCCAUACAGAUUGGACUUUAAACUAUGAUCUCUCAGCUUAACGGGCCUUAUUAAAGUGUACAAUGGUAAUGACAUUUAAUGUGGCGAAUGUAAAACAGUUGUACUUUGUUGACAUUUGUAAACGCCUGACACGAUGGUAUUUAAAAAUUAAAAACACCAAUAACUGAUUGGACUCAGUCUAUUUUUAACACUAUAGAAAAUGGUCUGAUUUAUUUUUUGUAGUCACGCUUAAAGCAUGAAGUGGACAUUUUGUUUACUGACUCGACUAUCAAAUGUAAUCAUUAUAUAUUUAUGCCUUCAAGAUUUAUUUCCCAAUAUUCGAAGAAGGCUUUCAAUUACUUAGCAAUCCAUCUGUUUUUAACAAGCAACAACAGACUUUUCUGUUCAUUUUUUACUUUUUUUUUUAAACUUCGAAUUUCAGAGUAGCAUUAAUAAUUGAUCGGACACACUAGCUCUUGAUAAUACUUAGUGCUGACUAUUUUAGUAUACUAAAGGCUUAAGAAAUGAAGUUUAUAGUUUUGAUCGUAUUCUUAGCACUUCUUGCUACUAAGAUACCGCCAUGCUGUAAAACGAGAUGCUUACUCGCUGCUUGCAAGACGGUCAAAAAAUACACCUAAUUUUGAUUUAUUUGGACUUACUUUCACCAAAUAUUAUGUUAAGCUGAGUAGAAUGCAAGCAAACAGUUUGUUGACUUCCUUCGAGCACGUGCAAUUUAAAUAUAUAAAUAUUUAUCAACCACUCUAUAAUUUCACGUUGUUUUAAAAGGGGUUAGCUUUAGUGGGCGAAAGAAAAUUUGUUUUCUCAGUUUUUCGCAUUAUUUAAAAGCAAAAUACGAAAAGUCUUGCCGUCAAUCAAGGGUAUCGGUCGUUCAUAUCUAUAGAUCAUAAAACUUUUUUUGGAAUUAAAUAUUAUUCAGCUGGAAAAGACAGAUUACGGGCAGAAAGACGGAGAGGAGUACUCUGUCAUGUGUCAUGUGGCUGUCAGAACAAAAUCCGAUAAUAAUAACUAGGUAACAUUUCAACCUUUUCAAAUGUGUUAUGUAAAUUUGUGUGUUUGUAUAAUGUGCAUCUCCAACGUCUUACUUUAUCAUUUAAAACACCCGCAAUUGAUUGGAAGCACGCGCUCCUAAUAGCUUGAAAUAUUGCUGACUGUAUGAUGUCCUAAACAUAUUUUGGAUAAAGCUGGUCUUUUUAUUGCUAAUAUAAAGAGUGUAAAUCCAAUUAAAUUGUAUUCUCGACUCCAAUUUGAUGUGAAAAACUGGCCUGCUGCAAGCCCGGAUGCUUACUGCUCAGAUCCUAGUGCUGUUAAUGUGAUGAAAUUAGACAGUUCACAGUAUUAUUUGACUAUAUACUUACCCGCGGGCGGUCGUCCCUCAUCGGCAGUGCUUAACGCAAUGGCAAAUUGGGCAGCAUAAUAGGUUAUCAUAAUUUGUAGCCGUGGUGCGGGCAGUUUUACGUGCAAUAUGUGGAUCACUGCAGCGAGCGCAUCGGAUAUGAUAAACAGAGCAGCGCCUACGGCAGCAAAGAAAGCCAGGAAACUCUUGACAUGCAGAGCACGUGCCAACGAACGCCAGAACAUGCCGGUUAUCAGCGUACAAUAGAUGAACACACCGAUUAAAUGUGCAAUAUUCAAAUGCCCGAUCACGAAGUAGAUCAAACCGAUGCUCGAUAUAUGAAGACAGGCUCCAAUAAUAAUCUUUAGCGGACGCCAGCCGAAAGCGAACAUAUAGCAAAUUUGUGUCGCACCAAAGCAGGUCAUGCCCAAGGCGAAUAACAACAAAUUAAACAUGACAUCACCAGCGCAGGAGAACAUUAACCCUAUUAAAAUCAAUUGGGAUUGUCCAUAGUGCUUUUUGAUCGAUAACCCCUUGAUCGAAACAUAAAACAUCAAUGCCAUUAUGGGCAAGCAUCGCAGCGCACUUGUCCAUAGUGUCCACACCUGAUCUUGACGCACCAGCGAAAAAUAAAGCACCACACUUAUAUAAAACGGGAUUAGCUUUAAGAAUUCAAUAGCUAAAAAACGCAGGUUGUAGUACAUGAUUAUUAUUUUCGCAGGAGCUCAAUAAAGCUGCCGUUUACAGAAAAAUGAAGGUAUAAAUUUAAUAGAAAAAAGUCAUUAGCUCAUUGAUAAUUUUAUAGUGAACGAGAAAGGAUUACCUUUCACCUUUCUAAUUGGGCAUUACGUAGUCAUUGUGUGGCUGCCAGCUAAAUCGUAUCCAGAUUUUUGAAAAUUCGAAAUUUUUUUAUUACAAUGGAGACUUUUUGUUUAUUUUUUGCUAGUUCAAAAUAAUAUGAAAAUUCAAAUUUGAAAAAGCACAGGCUCAGCAUCAGAAAGAUACAUAAGGCAUUAAUCCAGGCAUGGUUAGUCAAAACCACGGCUAAACGCUUGAAAACCCAUAACCCCAACAUCGCGACAUGCUAAACGGCGUUAAACUGAAAUUGUAGACAGGCUGAUGGGAGAUUAUAUCAUUGGGCUGUCACAAAAUCUCAAAAAUAAUAAAAGCUAGCCUACACUGUGAAAAAACGUUGUACGUUUGAAGCGUGUUAGGUAGCAUGACUAAGCUGACAUACAUGUAAAUCAAUUUUUCGCAAUGAAAAGCAGCAAUAAUUGAUUGGCCAAACAAGCUCCAUGUAGCUAUAAAUAGUGCUGCUUCUUAUAGUUAAAGUCAAACAAUGAAGUGGAUACUUUGGAUCACAUUUGCAGCACUGGCUACGGAAAGAAGUGUGCCAGCAUGUUGUAAAAAUGGUUGCCUCUUGCUUGAAUGUGUAGAUGUUACAAAAUAACACUUUAAAUAUUUUUAUUUGGAUUUACUUGCCCUAAAUAUCUGUGAAUAAAUGCAAUAGAAAGAGA